rnacentral:rRNA from 1 species
AGAUUAAGUUAUUAAGGGCGCACGGUGGAUGCCUUGGCACUAGAAGCCGAUGAAGGACGUUACUAACGACGAUAUGCUUUGGGGAGCUGUAAGUAAGCUUUGAUCCAGAGAUUUCCGAAUGGGGAAACCCAGCAUGAGUUAUGUCAUGUUAUCGAUAUGUGAAUACAUAGCAUAUCAGAAGGCACACCCGGAGAACUGAAACAUCUUAGUACCCGGAGGAAGAGAAAGAAAAUUCGAUUCCCUUAGUAGCGGCGAGCGAAACGGGAAGAGCCCAAACCAACAAGCUUGCUUGUUGGGGUUGUAGGACACUCUGUACGGAGUUACAAAGGACGACAUUAGACGAAUCAUCUGGAAAGAUGAAUCAAAGAAGGUAAUAAUCCUGUAGUCGAAAAUGUUGUCUCUCUUGAGUGGAUCCUGAG